AUAAGAAGUACUAUACAUGAAACAACACAACACAUUCCAGAGGACUCUGUUCUAGAAUACCUGUAAAAAAAAACAUUAUUCAGUUGUUUCAACUUUCAGCCAUAUGUCAAACACCUUGCGUAAAUUAGUGUGCACAAUGUUGUUGUAGUGACAAUCAACUCAUUAGAACCUCAUAUUUUCAAGUGCUUCUCAAACAUUCUUCUUCAACAUUUAUUCCCUUUGCAUAGAUAAAUUCAUCACAGUAUUAGUGUUUCUAGAGUAAUGUCAACUACCCAUAAUCACUAUAAAUUUUCUGUAAAAUGGAUUAAUUUGGCAGUAAUUAGUUUGUAACCAAAGCGAAUACUGACAAACGCCAUUAGAGGAUUUUGGUCAGUAAUUUCUCAAGCAGACACCAUUAGAGAAUUAAUCAAAAGAGAAAUCAAAUAAGAGCUAUUCAAAAUUACUCAUUGGAGUAUCUAUCUAGACAUGCAUGUGAAUUUCAGAUAAAAAUACUGAUAGAGUGAUACACUUUUAAGAAUCUAGUAAACGCUUUUCCACAAAUAAGUCAAAAAAAAAAUUAAUUGGAGAAAAAACGUACCACAACUGAGAGCUUAUACCAGAGACGAAUUAGACAAACGGACAACCUUCCCAAGAAUUCUACAAAUGAAUAAACUUUGAAAAAAUCCAGUGAUAGAAAUUUGGAAAUAAGAGAGAAGAAUGUGCGGGAACUAAAGUGUGUAAAAGAGCAUGACUUGUAGGGAGACAGGUAUUUAUUUUUCACGGCUGAAAGACGCGUUUAGAGGUUAGCCACAAAGAAGCUUAUAUUUACGGCAAUGCCCUUCGUCGUUCAAGAGGACCUUUACUUAUUAUAUUACUAGAUGUAGGCUCCCGUGCUCUGCACGGGCCCGAGAGCAUGCUGAGGCCCGUGCACCCCAUACUACAACAUUAGAAAGAGCUUGUGCUUUACUUAAAAUCAUGAGAAGAACAUCUCUCUUGCCUGUGAAUUUCUAAUACAUUGCAGCUCAGUUGAAUGGCCAAGUAUUUAAUUGAGACACACACAAUUCCUAAGAAUAUCUGAUCUUGCAACCAUGAUCUUUUCUACUGCGUGAAAAAAGAAAAUCAGCAAAGUCAAUUGUCUUCUCAAGAAUACAUUUGAAUUUUUUUUUUUGUUAUAAAGGAGCAAAUCUUGACUAAAAAAGGCAGCAAACAUUUAACUCUACUGGUGCUCAUCCCAGUAAAUCAUCCUAAAAGUACAAUAAAAGUAAUCUCAACUUUCUUAAUUAAGCAAACCACUUCAGCACCAGUGCAUUCUAUUUGAGUUUUGGUUGCUCGAUCAUCAGUUAAAGAAUAAUUUUCUUAAGGAACCCGCCUUUAGUAUCUGCAAAUUUUAUGAGCCCGCAAUUUUAAGCAUAAAACACAUGCUAAAUUCAGGUACAUGAAUCAUGAUGAACAAAAUGUAACAGUACAUGAAUCAUGAUGAGCAAAAUAUAACAGUAUACUCCGCACUCUGUCUAAAACCACAUAUAGUUAAACUAUAUAUCUUAUCUCUACUUGGAAUAGAUUCCACAUUCAUGCAAUGGAUGCCUACGUAUAAGAAGAGAAGUUAAGCAAAAAGUAGGUUCAUAUCUCUCUCCUUCAAUCUCGAUUUAUUAAAACAUGGACUUGCAAGCACCUUAAGGUUAAAGAUAAAGUAGGCGACAGGAACAGGUAAAAGACACUUGUUAGUAUACAACCAACUUUACCAACCAGCCUGCAUAUUGACAAAUAUAGCAUCUCAAAAUUUUGUCUGUUUGUGUAUCAAUCCAAGGAGAAUACAACCAUAUUUACUCUAAGACCUUAAGAAAUGUGCUAAAUUGAUCAUCACUGUCACACUUGUCCUCAGCUGAUUCUUUCUCAGAAAUACGGAUGCCGAUUAGAGUCAUGAUAAAUUGUGAAUUGGAGCCAUGGCGACUCAAAAACAGAAUCAACUCACUAAAAGCACAUGCUCUACAAAAACUAUCAACCAAAGCAAAAGCAACGGCAAAAACACUUUAGGGUGCAUGUCACCUAAAGAGUAGCAAGAUUUUCUUCAGAGUUCAAAAAGAACAAAUACGUCUCUCGCUUUGAAGGAUAGCAAUACCUCUUUUAAUCUGGCGAUGAUAAGUAUUGACAUGAAAAGUGGAGCAUCUCAAUCUUGAGGGGGGAAAAGACUGAAUCUCAUUAAAGCAGGUAUUCUUUUUCUUAGAGAGAUUUUGUUUGAUUUUUAAGUGAACCAUAAGAUGGUCGAAUGAGAACAUAAAGACAUGUAAAACACAGAACAUAUUUUAGUAAUAAAACAUACCAAAUAAUUUUCUCUUUUGAGGUAUAACUUUCCAAGACAUAGCAAACAAUUAAUGAAUAAAGAUAAAGAGAGGUAUAAUUGAGACACAUCACGUAUUUACAUCAUAACCAACCAGGGGUGGACAUUAUCACCAUUCAGAGAAAGUAUUCAAUUGCAGAAUUUGGGUAGAGCCUCACAUUCGAAAAACAAAUU
rnacentral:lncRNA from 1 species